rnacentral:lncRNA from 1 species
CUGGUCAACACCGGGCAACUGAACCAUUCCUGCACGUUACUUUUUAACGUAGCUGGCGCCAUUCCCGACCCAUCUUUAUAGUGGCCAGAAAGCCAAGAACGGGAACCGUGGCGGGGAAGUCUGGUUUCCGUCCUGCUGCUUUCCUUCAACUACAAGAUGGCUUCUCAAAAGGACGCAUGCAAUGCCAUUCCUCAAAGACAGGUCUCACUCCGUCACUCUGCAGGAAUGCAGUGGUGUGAUCAUGGUUCACUGCACCUUGACCUCCUGGGCUCAAGCAUCUUCCCCACUCAGCCUCCCAACAGCAUGAGCCACCAUGCCUGGCUAACAAAUUGAUACCAACUAUCACUCUUCUCAGCUAACUAAAAAGGUGGUCUUCACAAGUUUUAAGAACAUUAAAUGACAAUAUUGGCACAAUCAAUAUUUUAUCAUUUUAUAUUUGGAAAAAAACGGGAAGCUGGGGUAAACCAGUUUCUAAAUAAAGCUAAUGAAACUUUAAUUCAUUCAAACACUAUGGUAGUUAUGUUGAUGAUAAGUAAACAUUAUUAUUUAUUUAUACUGUUUCCUGAGGUGAUCCAGAAACUACUGUUAUUAUAGUAGACUCGCUACUAUAUACAUUUACUAUCCCUGCAAAUGUGCUUUGGAAAUACUCAAUAACAAAAAUUUUAAGGUAGACCCAUGUGUAAUUUAACAUGCUUUCUCUGUUACAAAAGCUAUCUUUAGGAAAUUCUUAAGUAUCAAAAAUCCAAUUUAUUCCAUUUUCAGAAGACAAGGAAAAAGCACUCAUAAACUCUAGGCCAUAAAAAAUAGAUUUCAUAAGUAGCUCCUUUAACAUGAAGAAAAUGACAAUAAAAAUAUCUUACUUGCAUGUUACUUCUGGAAUAAUGUCAAAAAUCUAUGUAGAUCUUUCCAUUUUAAAUGAUGUUAAAAUAGUGUCAGCACUGUGACUGACUCAUAGCAAGUAUGGGUAUCUAUCCAAAUAUUUGUCUUUGAAACAAGGAACAAGUGACCAUCCGAUGAAAAGUGCAUGCCUCUUAACAGUAUCUUUCUGUAAGAAAAAUUAGGUGAUCUAUAUUUACAUUUGGGCAGUGGGGGGAUGAAAACUGCUCUUACCAAGAUGGCUGACUUGAAUAAAGACAGUCAAUAUUUUUCAAAAAAUUCACUGCUCUGGUACUGAGAUCUCCAUGAUGACAGAUUACAGUUAAACAGAAAAUGCUGUGAAAUACCUUUUACAGAACACAGCCUGACUUUGCAGAUUAACUUAAAGAUAUAUUUCUUGAUUAUUUCACUGUUAAAAAAUCAAGAAAAACACUACUAACAUUUCAACAUCUUAAAAAUAGAAUUUAUGCAAUGACAUUUUUAAGCUCUGCAUUUUGUAUACUAUUACCGUCUUUAAUUACAGUUAUGUUCAUCCAUAUAUCAAAAGGCAGCACUGGUGACCUUGAUAACAUUAUAUAUGCUUAUGUGUUUAAGACAGUCUUGAUUAAAUAUUUCCAUACAUUAUCUGCAGCCACUAUUCUUAUCCUUUCUUCCCAGGAGGAGAAUGAAGUGGGACUAGGCAUUUACCCGGCACUUGCCUGCACUAUCAUUCAUUGGCACUAAUGAUUAGGAUGCUUGAACCAUGCAGUUUUGUUUCUAUUUCAACAAUAUGACACUGAAGUAGCCAUUAUCUUUUGAUAUUUAAGCCUAAGUAAUAGUAUAUUCUUCAUGCCAAGUUUUGACAGCUCAAUAAUUUGUAUUCUAGAGGGGAAAAUGAUAUUUUUGCUAUUAUUUAUUUAAAAAGAAAAUAAAAAAUGCCAGCUUAAUGCCCCAUUAAAAGCUAAAUUCACCUGAACUUAUUAAUGAUGCUUGCUGAAGACAAAGUGAUUUCAAAACCCCAAAACUGUGUUUAGUAUUUACAAGAAGUAGAAAAAGUAUAUAUUUUUCUGUUAAGAAUAUAAUUCUCUAUCAUUUACAAAUAUAAUUUGGUAAUUUAUAUUUCAAAGCUAUCCUAUGGUCCUAUAUGGAUUAUCAACUUCUAAUUGCCAAUUCUAAAUGUUAUAAUCAUCUAUAUUGGGCCUUGGCCAACCACCUGCAAGUUAUCCUUAACUCCACCAUGAAGAGGGUGCAAGAGAUAUGUUUAUGAAAUGCCUCAAUAUAAUUCUAGUUUUUCAAAACCUCAAGGUAAUAAGCUAACCAGCAGAUUAUUUGUAAACCCACACUACUGAAAUUACAGUGACACCCUUUUAUAUGGUUGAAUUGUAUAA